AGAGAGAGACAUGCGCGCAUAUCAAUAAGCGGAGGAAAAGAAACUAACAAGGAUUCCCUUAGUAACGGCGAGUGAAGCGGGAAGAGCUCAAAUUUGAAAUCUUCAAGGUUCUACCUUGACGAAUUGUAGUUUAAAGAAGUGUUUUCUGUUGGAGUUUUGGUAAAAGUUCUUUGGAAUAGGACAUCAUAGAGGGUGAGAAUCCCGUAUUUGACCAUUAUUUCCAGCUUUGUGAUACACUUUCAAAGAGUCGGAUUGUUUGGGAAUGCAGUCCAAAAUGGGUGGUAAAUUUCAUCUAAAGCUAAAUAUUGGCGAGAGACCGAUAGCGAACAAGUACCGUGAGGGAAAGAUGAAAAGAACUUUGAAAAGAGAGUUAAACAGUACGUGAAAUUGUCAAAAGGGAAGCGUUUGACACCAGUGUUGUUUUUCUGAAAAUCAAUUAAAGAACUGUUUAUGCUAAGCUGUUUAGACUUUAUCAGCUAACUGUUUAGUUUUGAGCUUUUCUUUAAUGCACUUUUCAGUUAACAAGUCAACAUCAAUUUCUUUUGUUGUAAAAGGGUCAUUGGAAGGUGGCUUUCUUUUCGGAGAAAGUGUUUAUAGCCUUUGGCCUCUGCAAUCGGAGAGAUUGAGGUCUGCAGCGUAGAUCCUUCGGGGUUAGAUACAUUUGUGCUAAGUUAUAGCCUUUCAUAGACAACUUGUUGACUAUGAUCAGUCAUGUAGCUUACUCGCUUAUGUUAUUUUACCUACGCUUAGGAUGUUGAUGUGAUACUGCGAGCA
rnacentral:rRNA from 1 species